rnacentral:rRNA from 1 species
UACGAAGGGUGCAAACGUUGCUCGGAAUCCUUGGGCGUAAAGCGCACGUCGGCGGCUUUGCAAGUCGGACGUGAAAUCCCUCAGCUCAACUGAGGACGUGCAUCCGAAACUGCAAGGCUUGAGUACUGAAGAGGAUCGCGGAAUUCCCAGUGUAGAGGUGAAAUUCGUAGAUAUCGGGAGGAACACCAGUGGCGAAGGCGGCGAUCUGGGCAGAUACUGACGCUGAGGUGCGAAAGCGUGGGGAGCAAACAGG